rnacentral:lncRNA from 1 species
AGAGGAGGCGCCGAGAGCAAGCGAGGGCUGUGAGGACUGCCAGCACACUGUCACCUCUUACUACUUUCCCAUAAAUUCUUUGGCAUAUGAAGAAAGGGAAAGAGAGAGAAAGAAGAAAAGAAAGGGACAAAAGAGGGAAGAGAGGAAAAGAGGAAAACAUCAACACAGGUCCAGGACUUGGUUUCCAAGAAGCCCCUGUACAUGG